UACCUUUUCCCCCAUUUUCUCCAAACCCGAGAAACAUAAACCUCAGAAUUCUCUCUUUUGAUCCCAAAAAUAUAUUAGGUUUUGUUAAAAGGAGUGGACUUUCUGCCAAAAUUCUUUCAAUUUGUCGAUUUGGAGCCGAUGCAAUCUCAAUCUGCGAUGAAGGACCCAGUAAGCAAGCAUCUUAAUUACAUCUAUGGAGAUUGAGGGCCGAAGAUUACCCUAAAACCUAAUAACGUGAUUCAGUGCGUUGAAUAUGGGUAUGAUAUUCUUUUUUUUUCAUCUAUUGCAGUUUUCGCAACCAUUUUACAUCAAAGUAAGCCAUUUUGGUUUUGAACUGUUUGGUUGGUGGAUUCUAUUGUGAACUACAAAAGAAGAAGAAAAGAAAAUCAACUUUCUGAUCAUUUUCAACCUGUCUGCUCGUCGGCAUCAGUAGUUGCACAAAGGAACUAGCAUGCUUAUUUCCUGCUCAUCUAGGCAUGUUUCUGCAGUUUUAACCAUCAAUUGCAGUUGUGGAGCGCAGAGUUUGUCUGAUCAUAAAUUUACUCUCUAUGUUUUAAGUAAGAUAGAGUUAUCUUGAGACAGGGGUGUUUCGGAAACAACCUCUCUAUCUUCAUGAGGUAGUGGUACGGUCUGCAACACUCUAUCAUCUACAAAACCCCACUUAGUGAGAUUAUACCGGAUGUUAAAAUUUGGAGUCUUAACAAUCCACAAAUAAAGUGCAGAUGAUCAAGUCUAACUAAAAAUAUCGAAGAACAAGUUGAAGACCAGAGACACAAUUUUUAUUUUUUUUUGGAGUUGUUAAAUGUGUUUCCAUUGCUACCUAAUUGUUUAUAUUUUAUGUGUUUAAUAAAUAUUAUAAAGUUGAUAGAUAUACUUUUGGUAAUAUGAUAAUUUAGUUCUUUGGAAUUUA